rnacentral:rRNA from 1 species
GAUGAACGCUGGCGGCGUGCCUAAUACAUGCAAGUCGAGCGAACAGACGAGGAGCUUGCUCCUCUGACGUUAGCGGCGGACGGGUGAGUAACACGUGGAUAACCUACCUAUAAGACUGGGAUAACUUCGGGAAACCGGAGCUAAUACCGGAUAAUAUAUUGAACCGCAUGGUUCAAUAGUGAAAGACGGUUUUGCUGUCACUUAUAGAUGGAUCCGCGCCGCAUUAGCUAGUUGGUAAGGUAACGGCUUACCAAGGCAACGAUGCGUAGCCGACCUGAGAGGGUGAUCGGCCACACUGGAACUGAGACACGGUCCAGACUCCUACGGGAGGCAGCAGUAGGGAAUCUUCCGCAAUGGGCGAAAGCUUGACGGAGCAACGCCGCGUGAGUGAUGAAGGUCUUCGGAUCGUAAAACUCUGUUAUUAGGGAAGAACAAAUGUGUAAGUAACUACGCACGUCUUGACGGUACCUAAUCAGAAAGCCACGGCUAACUACGU